CCUACGGGUGGCAGCAGUAGGGAAUAUUGCUCAAUGGGGGAAACCCUGAAGCAGCAACGCCGCGUGGAGGAUGAAGGUUUUAGGAUUCUAAACUCCCUUUGUUAGAGAAGAUUAUGACGGUAUCUAACGAAUAAGCACCGGCUAACUCCGUGCCAGCAGCCGCGGGAAGACGGAGGGUGCCAGCGUUAUUCGGAAUCACUGGGCGUAAAGAGUGCGUAGGCGGGGUAAUAAGUCAGAUGUGAAAUCCUGUGGCUUAACUACAGAACUGCAGUUGAAACUGUUACUCUGGAGUGUGGGAGAGGUAGGUGGAAUGCUUGGUGUAGGGGUAAAAUCCGUAGAGAUCAAGAGGAAUACUCAUUGCGAAGGCGACCUGCUGGAACAUUACUGACGCUGAUGCACGAAAGCGUGGGGAGCAAACAGGAUUAGAUACCCUAGUAGUC
rnacentral:rRNA from 1 species